rnacentral:rRNA from 1 species
GCUAAACGCGAAGAACCUUACCUAGGCUUGACAUGCAGGGAAAUCUGGCAGAGAUGCCCAGGGUCCUUCGGGGCCGUUGCACAGGUGGUGCAUGGCUGUCGUCAGCUCGUGUCGUGAGAUGUUGGGUUAAGUCCCGCAACGAGCGCAACCCUCGUUCUAUGUUGCCAGCGGUUCGGCCGGGGACUCAUAGAAGACUGCCGGGGUCAACUCGGAGGAAGGUGGGGAUGACGUCAAGUCAUCAUGCCCCUUAUGUCUAGGGCUGCACGCAUGCUACAAUGGUCGGUACAAAGGGCUGCAAUACCGCAAGGUGGAGCGAAUCCCAAAAAGCCGGCCUCAGUUCGGAUUGGGGUCUGCAACUCGACCCCAUGAAGUCGGAGUCGCUAGUAAUCGCAGAUCAGCAACGCUGCGGUG